rnacentral:rRNA from 1 species
UACGAGGGGGGGCGAGCGUUUGUUCGGGAAUUUAUUGGGCGUAAAGGGGUGCGUAGGCGGUUCCGCAAGUCCUGUGUGAAAUCUUCGGGCUCAACUCGAAGUCUGCACGGGGAAACUCGGGGGGCUGAGUGUGGGGAGAGGUGAGUGGGAAUUCCCCGGUGUAGCGGUGAAAUGCGUAGAUAUCGGGGAGGAACACCUGUGGGCGAA